AACAAUUUUAUUAUAGUUCUGUAUUAUUUUAAUUAUUCAAUAAUUUUACUUGAUAAUUAUGAAAAUGAAAUUUCAUUAACUUUUAAAUCUUAACAUCUAAUCUAAUUUAAUUAUAAUUAAAUAUCUAAUUUUUCAUAAUUUAAUUAAAUUUGAUUGGUUCAGUUAUGCAUUUAAUCUUUAUCCAUCACUAUAUAAGAUAUAAGAUAAGAUUAUGAAUAAUGAUAGUUCCAUUUUAAUAAUAAUAAUAAUAAUAAUAAUAAUAAUAAUAACAACAACGAUAGUGUCUAUACGUGUUAUUCUUCUAGUGGCCUUUGUCAUCAGUGCUUUUGGGGCAAACAAGACUUAAAACAUGAUAAGUUUUGACUUUAUUAAACUUUAUCAAUUUUGUAGCCUUACAUAUAUAUAACUCAUUUUACGUUCAACCUCCUUCAAAAGGCCACGUUGCACUAUUGAAUUUUAACAUUUGUCUUAACUAAGUGCUUUAUAUAUAUGUAUAUGAGGAUAUUUCAUGUAUGCAUUACUGGACAUAAAAGCUUCGUUACAAGCAAAAGUCUACAUCAAGGUGACGUUGUUUUCGUGUAUUUAAUUUAACGAGUGGCUGCAACCUGCAACAGCUAUAUGGCCAAGCCAACCAUAUUUGAUAAAUGUAAAUAUCAUAUAUAUCUCCUCAAUAAGUGAGUAUUGUUACGUGAAGGGUAUAGUUAGCAUAAGUAUGUAAAAUUAUUUUACAAAUAGAGAAGGAAUAAUAAAAAUGAAUUAUAAUUAGGAGUAUUCUUAUUGA